rnacentral:rRNA from 1 species
GCUCGUUCGGGAACGAGC